GCCUAGUUAGCUUAGUUGUUAGUGCGUCUGCCUUGUAAGCGCUAGGCCGCGGGUUCGAUUCCCGCCCGGGGCG
rfam:Asian citrus Psyllid, Diaphorina citri - Florida Strain, whole genome shotgun sequence.